rnacentral:rRNA from 1 species
UGCCAGCCGCCGCGGUAAUACGAAAUGUGCGAGCGUUGUUCGGAAUCACUGGGCAUAAAGGGUCUGUAGGCGGUCCUGUAAGUUAUUGGUGAAAUCCCACGGCUCAACCGUGGAACUGCCAAUAAUACUGCAGGACUUGAGUAUGAAAGGGGCAAGUGGAAUUCCAGGUGUAGCGGUGGAAUGCGUAGAUAUCUGGGAGAACGCCAAAGGCGAAGGCAGCUUGCUGGGUCAUAACUGACGCUGAGAGACGAAAGCUAGGGGAGCAAACAGGAUUAGAUA